UAGACUUCCGGUUACUUUCGUUUUAUUAACCUUAAACAUAAAACAUGUCACGAAUUAUGAAAGUAUGUUGGCAUGCAUCUAGGAGCCUAACUACAUAUUCAAAACUGUUAGCAGCUCGGAAAAAUGAAGGAAAGAAAUAUCCCAAAAUAUAUACAAAAACUGGUGAUAAAGGUUUAUCAUCCACUUACACCGGAGAAAGGCGACCAAAAAGUGAUGCAAUCUUUGAAGCAUUGGGAUCUACAGAUGAGCUCUCAUGUGCUAUUGG